GUUGUGACAUUCCGCACCUCAUUGAUCGAUUGCCAGGGUUGAUUUGGCUGAUCUGUCUGGCUAGGUGGGUGUCCC
rnacentral:sRNA from 1 species